UCCUUUAGCAUCUCUAAAAGCUUUAGAUUACCUUACUAAAUGUUGCUUUUCUCGAAAAUUGGACUUAUGGCUAAGAUGUUAAUGCAUAAAAAUUGAAUCAAAUAUUCUCCGGGUUUCAAGAAGGAAGGCGGCUGAAUCAGAAAUGAAGAAUUCCAAUUUUGCCGCUGUACCAGAAAAAAGGUUUCUACUCUACAUGAAAUCUUUUGACCCUUCAUUCAGGAGCAUUGGUUGAUACUGUGUUAGAAAUGAACCAGGCAUUUGAGUCUGAAAGGGACAAAUAUAUUUGCCGAAAAUCUCAAAUCUACCGCCACCUUAUAUAGAAAUUUCACUUGAUGAAAAAUUGAAGGGAUUUAAUGAAAGUAUUAUACAAAGUCCAUUGCGCCAUACUGUGCUCCAUUCAGAUGAAUAAUCCAAGUGCAUUGUUAUGGAAUUCCUGUCACCUUGUCCUAAAGUACAGAUAUCAGCGAAUAACAUGGCAUCUGCUCUACAAUUGAUGGCAUUUGCACAAGAUCUGAACUGGAAAAUUGGGCUGCAGUGUGAUUAAUAUAACUAGGUAAUGAAGUUGUUAAAUCAAAAUUGGUAUUGCUGUUACAUUGCACUUGUUACAUUGUUUAUUUGAAGUAUAUAAAUAUCAAUUACUGAUGUUUACCAACCAUUUAAAUCCAUUGUCGGAGAUGCUCAGACUUCUCAACAAUUGUAUACCAUGAAAUUGCAGUUUGGCAAUUUUUCAGUUUUUCGCAUUUAAAUAUUCCAAUUUGUGCAGGAAAAAGUUGUAGUAUUAGAUCAGUUGACUGACAAAUAAAACGGGCAAGUUUUGUUUUAAUUAGUCACUUAUAGAAUUCAUGAUAUCGAAAUUCAAUUGUUGUAUAAAUUUAUUUCACGUAAUUACCUGCAUUUUCGAAUGUAAACAAAUUAUCAAGCAACUUCAGAUAACAGUAUGUGCUGAUUCUAAAAUGAGGAUAGUUUAAAAAUUGGUUGCAACUGAUGUUAACCUAUUCUUCUAAGCAAUAGAAUUCGUAUUUCCGAUUUUUCAUGUUGAAUCCAAAAACAUAAUAUAAACGUAACAUUCCACAAAUUCGAAAAAUCUUAUUCUCUUGAAAGCCAACAUUUGUAUCACACCAAAAUAUUUAAAAUUCCUUUCAUGCAGCAUAGUUUAUCCUUUACCGUUUUUCCAGCUUGAUGACACAAAUCAUUUACUGCUUUGAUUCUUUAACCUUCCUCUAAGGGGAAAAUGCCUCGAAUGAGACUUUGCUAUGGUUCUAUUAUGCAGGUCGAGACAUUAUCGAUUUUGCAAAUGUUCCAAUACUUGGCUUCAGAUGCAUUGAAAUUUCUCUUGCUAUUUGAAUAUUUAAAUAGUCGAAUGUUUAUAUUCACGCCAUUUAGCUGCUUUCCAAGGCUGGCUUGGGGCAUUUUUUAACAAUCGAGCAUGAUCUUAUGCUUUGAACAUUGUCAAUACUUAAAACAGUUUCGGGUCUCGCAAGAAAGCGGACUUAUCGCCUUGUUUUGUCGGAACGAAAGCUGUUUUGGCCCUCGAUAGCUCAGUUUUAGAAAACUCAUUCACAUAAUGAAACACAAACUCUUGGACUGUAUCCCCAUUACUUUAUUCUCAACACUCACAACACACUCUCUGUGGUAUUCACACUCUAAAAAGUUAUAUCAUUUCACCACUGGGUGGCGCUAC